rnacentral:rRNA from 1 species
CUUUGUUGCCAGCGGUUAGGCCGGGAACUCAAAGGAGACUGCCAGUGAUAAACUGGAGGAAGGUGGGGAUGACGUCAAGUCAUCAUGGCCCUUACGACCAGGGCUACACACGUGCUACAAUGGCGCAUACAAAGAGAAGCGACCUCGCGAGAGCAAGCGGACCUCAUAAAGUGCGUCGUAGUCCGGAUUGGAGUCUGCAACUCGACUCCAUGAAGUCGGAAUCGCUAGUAAUCGUGGAUCAGAAUGCCACGGUGAAUACGUUCCCGGGCCUUGUACACACCGCCCGUCACACCAUGGGAGUGGGUUGCAAAAGAAGUAGGUAGCUUAACCUUCGGGAGGGCGCUUACCACUUUGUGAUUCAUGACUGGGGUGAAGUCGUAACAAGGUAACCGUAGGGGAACCUGCGGUUGGAUCACCUCCUUACCUUAAAGAAGC